AGUUCUGGCGGUAAUUUCGAAAUAAGGAGAAUGGUAAUUUUCAUUAUAUUUUUUGCAUUUAAAGGAGGAAACGUUCGUAAUAGGGUCAUGGGGCUUUAUCGUUAGCAUGCGUUAUUUAUUUAUUUUUUUUAAUUUGAGAAAGGAUGAGAAAGAAGAGACAUAUGAUGAACCCAAAUGAAAGUAAAGUUUAAAAAAAAAAAAAAAAAAAAAAUUGUUCCAUAAUUUUCUCCUCUUUUGUAAAUCCUUCAUUAUAAUGAAAGGGUGAUGAGAAAAUACUUACCUUGGAUGAUCGAUGAGCUGCUCUCGGAAAAUAAACAUUUGUGCAAUCACACAUAGGAUAUUAAGGUGUAUUCCAUAAGCAAACAAAAAAUCCCAUAUGGUAAGAGCUUCGGAUAAUGGGGCAGUACAAGCACUCAAAGUAAGUAUAGCUAUAUGUGAAAAGUAAAGUUAAUACCUAUUAAUUCUUUUCACAAAACGACAAAUAAAUUCGCUAUUCACUUACAUGGUAAAGCGUAAAUUUUUGCGGUAAGCCCUUUGGAUAAAAGAUACGUGUACAAACGAUGGUCAAGGACUUCAAGGCAUUUAUCCAAUAACUGUAAUUGAGUUAGUAAAUUGACAAUAAUAGAUUAAUAAAUAGGAGCAUUAAAACAAUAAAUAAACAGUUACUUACCUUUGCGCCGCGAUGAACACCAUCAAUGUUUGGGAGGACAUAUAGAGGGCAUUCAUUUUGUAGCAGACGGUCAAAGAACUGAAAAGCUUGGUUUUCGCUUUUACAAGCAUACAAAAAAGGUGAUGCUAACACAUUCAUACCUUGAACAUAUAAAGCACCUCGUUUCCAGACAUAAGCAUUUAAUAAACGUGAAAGAGACGAUUGAGACACACGAGAAUGAAACUGAGAUUCUACGACCAGGGUUCUUGAAACAUCAUUUUGAAUCUUUUGUGCCAUAGGAGACGGUCCUUGGCGAACAUAUCGUAUGUAUUCGUCAGCGUUCCGUGGGGGGGCAUUCAAAAGAACUGCCCAAACAUAUGGCCUGGUGCUUGAAUUCCCACCUUCAUCCGACUCAACUUGAUCAAGCAUGACCAUGUAACGAAGCCUAGAGAUACAUUUCGAUUGGUUUUCUGGUGAUUUGGGCGCUAACUUUUGAAGUCGCUUGCAGUCAAUACUCGGCAUCCUUAGAAACCAGCCUAUACAAUUUGAAGAAAACUAAAAUGAGGACCAGUAUGAAUUCAAAACAUAAAUAUAAGCAAAAAUGAAUUAAUAAAAUGCAAUUGAAUGGAAAAUAAGAGGAUAAUGAGGAAACAGUGAAGGUUGGUUUACAACGAAGAUACAACUGUAAG